AUUUCGGCGUAGGUUCUUGUUUGAAUGAUUAGUUCAACAAUUAUUCCCUCGGCGAGAUUCGUAGAAAUUUAAGCUCCCACGUGACACAAACGUAUACUGCCACUUUAAGCAUUCCCUUCUGAUAACUUGCUGCUGGUUGGUUAAAAACAACAAUUUAAGCAAUUUAUUGUUUUAUGGUUAAUUUGAAAACAUUCACCGAACGUUUGUACAAUACCAAAAUGUCGUGAAAGUGCCAACUGCCAUUGUAUUGGCUAAAACCUAGGCCACGCCCACAAUCUCGGAAGUGACCGAAGGUCGCGAUGCAAUCGAAUACUGUUGUAAUCAAAUGCAAGAAUGGACACCUUGCGACGGAAACCAUGAAAGUUGUGAGAGAAAAGAACGGAGAGUCGCCACCAAAAAACAAAGAUCAACUACCAACCAAAACACAGGAUUGACUCCAAGCGAUUUUGUCGACAAGAGUUUAAGGAAAUUUCAGCCCAGCCGUCAGUGGAAGACAUUUGAGGAAGCAGCCUUGACUUCCAAGCGACGCCACAGAGGAGCGGCGCCCCCCCCAGCUAGCCAGCCCACCCCCUCCACCAGAGGCCGCGACCGCUGUGACGCAUCAGUGCGUGCCUGCUGACCGUGGUCGUCACGAGGAGCAUGAGGGGCAGCGGGGGCUUUCAUGCUGGCAGACCGUGUCCGUCACUACAGGUGCCACAGCUCAAGGGGGUCAUCGAGGGGACCUGAUUUGAAGAUGCGAACGACAUCAAAGUGGUUUAUGAAGACGGCGCUGCGAUCCAUGGGAAACCCUUCCAGGAGUUCAUGAAGUACAAAUGGAGCUUCUCAUAUAUCUGAAGGACGGCGGUCACCCCCGUGGCAAGAUCAUCUCAGCCCAGUUUGUCUUCAUUUCAAACGAGUGACCCAUCAAAGCGCCAUGAAUGCGAGAUGCGCGUCGGCAGAAAAGGGCAGCGGCGCUUCAGCAGCAGCAUGGAAAUGAG